CCUACGGGGGGCAGCAGUGAGGAAUAUUGGUCAAUGGGCGCGAGCCUGAACCAGCCAAGUAGCGUGAAGGAUGAAGGCCCUACGGGUUGUAAACUUCUUUUAUAAAGGAAUAAAGUGAGGCACGUGUGCCUUUUUGUAUGUACUUUAUGAAUAAGGAUCGGCUAACUCCGUGCCCGCAGACGCGGUAAUACGGAGGAUACGAGCGUUAUCCGGAUUUAAUGGGUUUAAAGGGAGCGUAGACGGGUUGUUAAGUCAGUUGUGAAAGUUUGCGGCUCAACCGGAAAAUUGCAUUGGAUACUGGCAGUCUUGAGUACAGUUGAGGUAGGUGGAAUUCGUGGUGUAGCGGUGAAAUGCGUAGAGAUCACGAAGAACUCCGAUUGCGAAGGCAGCUUACUAAACUGCCACUGACAUUGAUGCUCGAAAGUGUGGGUAUCAAACAGGAUUAGAUACCCCGGUAGUC
rnacentral:rRNA from 1 species